AACGUAGGACGCAAGCGUUAUCCGGAUUUACUGGGCGUAAAGCGCGUGUAGGCGGUAUGGCAAGUCGGACGUGAAAGCUCCCGGCUCAACUGGGAGAGGUCGUUCGAAACUACCAUACUUGAGGACGGUAGAGGAGAGUGGAAUUCCGGGUGUAGUGGUGAAAUGCGUAGAUAUCCGGAGGAACACCAGUGGCGAAGGCGGCUCUCUGGGCCGGUCCUGACGCUAAGACGCGAAAGCUAGGGUAGCAAACGGGAUUAGAUACCCCCGUA
rnacentral:rRNA from 1 species